AAUGGGCGCAAGCCUGAUCCAGCCAUGCCGCGUGUGUGAAGAAGGCCUUCGGGUUGUAAAGCACUUUCAGCNNGGAGGAAGGCCNGUAGGUUAAUACUUUGCUGUUUUGACGUUACCCACAGAAUAAGCACCGGCUAACUCCGUGCCAGCAGCCGCGGUAAUACGGAGGGUGCAAGCGUUAAUCGGAAUUACUGGGCGUAAAGCGCGCGUAGGUGGUUNGUUAAGUCGGAUGUGAAAUCCCCGGGCUCAACCUGGGAACUGCAUUCGAAACUGGCNAGCUAGAGUCUGGUAGAGGGGGGUGGAAUUUC
rnacentral:rRNA from 1 species